rnacentral:rRNA from 1 species
AUUGAACGCUGGCGGCAUGCCUUACACAUGCAAGUCGAACGGCAGCACGGGUGCUUGCACCUGGUGGCGAGCGGCGAACGGGUGAGUAAUAUAUCGGAACGUACCUUAUUGUGGGGGAUAACGCAGCGAAAGCUGUGCUAAUACCGCAUAAUCCCUAAGGGGGAAAGCGGGGGACCGUAAGGCCUCGCGCAAUUAGAGCGGCCGAUACCUGAUUAGCUAGUUGGUGAGGUAAAGGCUCACCAAGGCAACGAUCAGUAGCUGGUCUGAGAGGACGAACAGCCACACUGGGACUUGGACACGGCCCAGACUCCUAAGGGAGGGCGGAGGGGGGAAUUUUGGGCAAAUGGGGCAAACCUGAUUCAGGCAUGGCGGGUGAGUGAAGAAGGCCUUCGGGUUGUAAAGCUCUUUUGUCAGGGAAGAAACAGCAGCUCUAACACAGUUUGCGAAUGACGGUACCUGAAGAAUAAGCACCGGCUAACUACGUGCCAGCAGCCGCCGUAA